rnacentral:lncRNA from 1 species
AUGCAGAUUUUUGACCGUUUUAAAGCGGAUUUUUGGAUUUUUUUGGGGUUAUUUUGGGGGUUUUUUUGGGGGGAUUUUUUUUUAUUUUUUGGGGUUAUUUUGGGAUUUUUUGGGGGAUUUUUUUUUUAUUUUUUGGGGUUAUUUUGGGAUUUUUGGGGGGAUUUUUUUUUAUUUUUUGGGGUUAUUUUGGGGUUUUUUUGGGGUUUUUUUUUUUUUUUUUGGGGUUAUUUUGGGAUUUUUGGGGGGUUUUUUUUUAUUUUUUGGGGUUAUUUUGGGAUUUUUUUGGGGAUUUUUUUUUUAUUUUUUGGGGUUAUUUUGGGAUUUUUGGGGGAUUUUUUUUUAAUUUUUUGGGGUUAUUUUGGGAUUUUUGGGGGAUUUUUUUUUAUUUUUUGGAGUUAUUUUGGGAUUUUUGGGGGUUUUUUUUGGGGUUUUUUGGGAUUUUUUGGGAGAUUUUUUUAUUAUUUUUUUGGGGUUAUUUUGGGAUUUUUGGGGGGUUUUUUUUUAUUUUUUGGGGUUAUUUUUGGGGAUUUUUUGGGGCCGUUUUUGACCCUUUUUGGGGUGCCCCCCCAGGCCAUCGCGGGGGUGAUCGCCGCCCCCCGCCCCCCGCUGCGGACCCCCACCACGCGGGGAUUUGGGGUUUUGUGCAGAUUUUUGACCAUUUUUAAGCUGAUUUUUGGAUUUUUUUGGGAUCUUUUUUGGGUUUUUUUGGGGGAUUCUCAGUUUGAGGUUUCUGGGAGGAUUUUUGGGGUUUCUGGGAGGAUUUUUAAGGUUUCUGAGGGGAUUUUGGGGUUUUUGAGGCAGAUUUUUGACCAUUUUAAAGCGGAUUUUUUGAAUUUUUUUUUAUUUUUUGGGGUUAUUUUGGGAUUUUUUGGGGGAUUUUUUUUUUAUUUUUUGGGGUUAUUUUGGGAUUUUUUUGGGGAUUUUUUUUAUUUUUUGGGGUUAUUUUGGGAUUUUUUUUUGGGGUUAUUUUGGGAUUUUUGGGGGGAUUUUUUUUUAUUUUUUGAGGUUAUUUUGGGGUUUUUUUUUUUUUUGGGUUUUUUUUGGGAUUUUUGGGGGGAUUUUUUUUUUAUUUUUUGGGGUUAUUUUGGGAUUUUUUUUUAUUUUUUGGGGUUAUUUUGGGAUUUUUGGGGGGGUUUUUUUUUAUUUUUUGGGGUUAUUUUGGGAUUUUUGGGGGGGAUUUUUUUUUAUUUUUUUGGGGCCAUUUUUGACCCUUUUGGGGUGCCCCCCAGGCCAUCGCGGGGGUGA